rnacentral:rRNA from 1 species
AACGCGAAGAACCUUACCUGGGCUUGACAUGUACUUGACAGCUCUAGAAACAGAGUCUUCUAGGCGAAAGCUUAGACAGGUAUACAGGUGCUGCAUGGCUGUCGUCAGCUCGUGUCGUGAGAUGUUGGGUUAAGUCCUCUAACGAGCGCAACCCUUGUCGUCAGUUGCAACUGCUUUACGCAAGGCACUCUGACGAGACUGCCUGGGAAACCAGGAGGAAGGUGGGGAUGACGUCAAGUCCGCAUGGCCCUUAUGUCCAGGGCUACACACAUGAUACAAUGGCUAGUACAAAGAGCUGCAAGCUCGCAAGAGUAAGCUAAUCUCACAAAACUAGUCUAAGUUCAGAUUGAGGUCUGCAACUCGACCUCAUGAAGUUGAAAUCGCUAGUAAUCGCGCAUCAGCAACGACGCGGUGAAUACGUUCUCGGGCCUUGUACACACCGCGUGUCU